rnacentral:rRNA from 1 species
UGGGGAAUAUUGGGCAAUGGGCGCAAGCCUGACCCAGCAACGUCGCGUGAAGGAAGAAGGUCUUCGGAUUGUAAACUUUUGUCUUAUGGGACGAUAAUGACGGUACCAUAGGAGGAAGCCACGACUAACUACGUGCCAGCAGUCGCGGUAAUACGUAGGUGGCAAGCGUUAUCCGGAAUUAUUGGGUGUAAAGGGUGCGUAGGCGGGAUGUAAAGUCAGAUGUGAAAUGCCGCAGCUUAACUGCGGAGCUGCAUUUGAAACUUACGUUCUUGAGUGAAGUAGAGGUAAGCGGAAUUCCUAGUGUAGCGGUGAAAUGCGUAGAUAUUAGGAGGAACACCGGUGGCGAAGGCGGCUUACUGGGCUUAAACUGACGCUGAGGCACGAAAGUGUGGGGAGCAAA